AGUGUUAAUCUAGGAGGUAGUUGAAUUGCUUCACCUCUCAGUGAAGUGCAACAGACAGGAGGUGACACUCAGGAGUAAUACAUGUGAGCAGGUCUGUGGUGACAGUCCCUGAAAUUCCUGUAUCAGUCAAGAGUGAUGAUGAGGUAGUUAGAUGGUAACUGUACUUGAGACUUGUAAUGAACAAACUGCAAGAAAAAUCAGUGAUUCAAAGCAGAAGACAAGACUCUCUACAGCUGAGGUUCCUCUUUCUACUCUCGAGCCCCAAGGCAGUAUCAUAAGAGACAGUAACAUGGUGGCUUCUGAGUGAGUUUUGUGUAUCUGAAUUGCAAAGUGAAGAUCCUAAAGAAGCAGUGGAGUGGAAGGACCGUUGUUGGGAUGGGAUGAUGAGAGAGCUGUCUACAGGACUGACUCACUAAUGCGCGCAUGGACUUUACCAGAAGUUUCACCUCUCAAAUACUGUAAUAGUAGGUUGUAUUUGGGGGGCAGCUCAUGCAAGAACAAGGUUUAUGGGUGCUGGACUAAUGAAGAAAGGGAGAAAAAGGGAAAUCCAAACUCCUAGCCUGGAAGACAGUCUGAACAACCAGUACAAUAGGAAGGCACAAUCCAGAAAGACACGGUGGCAGCACAGUCCGUCUAAUUUUCAAUGGAUGUAAAUAAUCCCUGUUACAGGAAGUGUGGAGUCUUCCAGAUGUUUCAUCUCUAGUUUUCUCCAGAGGAAUGACGUGCCCCUGGCAGAAGCGAAGGUGAAGGUAUGUACCUAGAUUUCAUCUGGAGCAGACCAGGUUCCUCAUAUGGAUCAGUGAUGGGAGGCAUGCCUGGAUCCUACAGUGUGAAUGCCACUCUGAGCAGCUUGAGAAACACUGACUCUCAGUCCUUCUUUGUGGCUGAUGUAGCAAUUGCUUCUGUGCCUGUCAAUCAGUCCCUCACAUGCUUGUGACUUCUCAGAAAAGGCAUCUUCUCUGGUAUUCUUGAUGCACAGAAGAAAAUAAGAAGAAAAUAAAAAAUCCAUUGAAACUAGCAAGUAUAUACUUUUAAUGACAUGGCAGGAUACCAGGAUCUGAAAUACCAUUUUUCUUCAUCAAGAUCCCAGACUGGUUGAAAAAGUGAAUAAUUUAAUAAUUUAGAAUGUGAGUGAUUUUUUUGUGAGUGAUUUUUUUUGUGUGAUUUUGAAUGUGAGUGAACUUUUUUGACAUUCUAGCUUUGUCUAAUAUUGAAAGUAAAUUAGGGAAAAACUCCAAUUGACUUCAAUUAGGCCAAUGCUGAUCAGUUUUGAAAAUCUCAUGUGAAGGUCCCUGGGGCAGCGACUCUGUCAUGCUCUGACUCCAUGCCUUCCCAGCAUUGCUCUGACAUUGCUUGAAUGCAUUCAGUGUUGUGCAAUGUGUUUU
rnacentral:lncRNA from 7 species